AUCGCUUCUCGGCCUUUUGGCUAAGAUCAAGUGUAGUAGUGGUAGGCUGUGUUCUUUUUCGAUGGACUAGUCGCUUUUGUCGCAGACAGCGUCAUAGUAUCGACUAAGCUUACACCGCCGAGUUGCGGCGCAUUUAAUACUGCUC
rnacentral:snRNA from 1 species